AUAGAAGACAAAUGCGAAAAUCAUAUGAACGAUGUAUAUAAUAUUUUAUUUUCGGUGAUUCCGUGAUGUACGUUUUACAACCUAGAAAUAGAAAAAUGAAUGUUGGCUGGUUUUGAUUUCGGUGAUUUCGUACAAAAGUUAUGAUUUUGCUCUUCAUUUGAAAAAUGCCUUAAUGGGUGCUGAUCAAAAAAAAAAUUAAUGCCUUAAUGGGUGUAAAUUAAGAGUAUAGUUAUAAGGGAAAAUAAAAAAAUUAUCAAUCAAAUAAAAUCACUCAAAAAAUCAUUCCUUUUAGAAACCAAAAUACCAGGAAGAGAUCUAAAAAAAUGCCUUAAUGGGUGCCGAUCAAAAAAAAUUGAUGCUUUAAUGGGAGGUUUUUAAUACAAUGCCUUAAUGGGAGUAAAUCAAGAGUAUAGCUAUAACGGAAAAUAAAAAAAUUACCAAUCAAAUAAAAUCACUCAAAAAAUCAUUCCUUUUAGAAACCAAUAUACCAGGAAGAGAUUUU